CCCGGCCGGCCAGACGACCGCCGGGUCCGAAAGGACCGGGAGGAAAGUCCGGGCUCCACAGGGCGCGGUGCUGGGUAACUCCCAGCGGGGGUAACCCCGGGAAAGCGCAACAGAAAGAAAACCGCCUUCGUCUUUUAGACAAGGUAAGGGUGAAACGGCGAGGUAAUAGCUCACCGGCCGAUCAGGUGACUGGUCGGGCCAGGCAAGCCCCACCGGGAGCAAGACCAAAUAGGGGGACGCAGGCGGCCCGCUUAGUCCCCGGGUUGGUUGCUUGAACUCCGGGGUAACCCGGAGUCUAGAGGAAUGGUCGUCGUCGUCUGGGUUGGUCGGGACCGACCCAGAAGUCACAGAACCCGGCUUACCGGCCGCCGGGCUGC
rnacentral:RNase_P_RNA from 1 species